UGGGGAAUAUUGGACAAUGGGCGAAAGCCUGAUCCAGCAAUGCCGCGUGUGUGAAGAAGGCCUGCGGGUUGUAAAGCACUUUUGUCGGGAAAGAAACAGCCUGGGGCGAAUACCUCCAGGCCUUGACGGUACCCGAUGAAUAAGCACCGGCUAACUCCGUGCCAGCAGCCGCGGUAAUACGGAGGGUGCGAGCGUUAAUCGGAAUUACUGGGCGUAAAGCGAGUGUAGGCGGUUGCAUAAGUCGGAUGUGAAAGCCCCGGGCUUAACCUGGGAAUGGCAUUCGAUACUGUGCGGCUAGAGUCUGAUAGAGGGAAGUGGAAUUCCAGGUGUAGCGGUGAAAUGCGUAGAUAUCUGGAAGAACACCAGUGGCGAAGGCGGCUUCCUGGAUCAAGACUGACGCUGAGGCUCGAAAGCGUGGGGAGCAAACAGGAUUAGAUACCCUGGUAGUCCACGCCCUAAACCAUGUCAACUGGACGUUGGCCCCAUU
rnacentral:rRNA from 1 species